GUGAAGGAUAACGUUGCGUCAGCAACGGCCCGUAGGGCAAGGCGAAGCCGAGUCAUCCUGCACGACCCACCA
rnacentral:sRNA from 4 species